UACGGAGGUGCGAGCGUUGUCCGGAAUCACUGGGCGUAAAGGGCGCGUAGGCGGCCUGAUAAGUAGGGGGUGAAAUCUUGCGGCUUAACCGCAAGGCUGCCUUCUAAACUGUCGGGCUAGAGCACAGUAGAGGCAGGUGGAAUUCCCGGUGUAGCGGUGGAAUGCGUAGAGAUCGGGAAGAACAUCAGUGGCGAAGGCGGCCUGCUGGGCUGUUGCUGACGCUGAGGCGCGACAGCGUGGGGAGCAAACGAGG
rnacentral:rRNA from 1 species